GUCCUCCCAUCAUGCCGGUGAACAUUCAAUUAUUUCUGAUGCAUUUCUGAAUUGAUGGAGAGGGUUGCCAGAGGAGAAGAUCCUACAUAGCUGCAUAAAUAGCCAGUGGAAGAAAUCAUACCAGAGAUGGAGCCACACAGCAAGUCCUAGAGACCAAACCGUCGUCGAUGGAGUUGGUGCAAGAAGAUAGAUCCAGCACUGAUGGAUAGUAAUGAUGCCGAUCCCAUGCAACACACUUUUGCUGGAUGAAAUAUACCAAAACACAGUUAAUGGCAAGGAGGAGGACUAAGAACCGGCAAGCUGGAUGGAGCUAUAGUCGGUAGUUGGAGUACCCAGUGACAACCAAGACAUGCUGGUGAGCUGAAUGUUCCAGUUGAAAACAUGGGCAGACGCGGCAAAUGGCAUCAGCUGCAGUAUAGGUUGGGUGCUCAUGCAUGCUCCAGAUGAUGCCGCGAGUUUUGUUGUAGUAAGAAUCGAUAGCAGUGUGGUGGUUUCCUGGGAGUUGCAUCGAUCAUAGUUGUAAUCGUGUGUUGUUUGAUGUACCAGGCGCGCAGGAGUUGUGCCCCAGAUUAGAUGAGCAUUAGUUCGUUGCUGGUUAUUUAAUCCUUCUUGUGGAAGUCAGUGAAAAUAUGAACUGGUGAAUUAAGAUUGAGUUAGUUGACCAAAGUUAUAUAUGCAGGCCUGGUCAGUAA